UACGUAGGGUGCGAGCGUUGUCCGGAAUCAUUGGGCGUAAAGCGCGUGUAGGCGGUCCGGUAAGUCCGCUGUGAAAGUCGGGGGCUCAACCCUCGGAUGCCGGUGGAGUACUGUCGGGCUUGAGUACGGAAGAGGCGAGUGGAAUUCCCGGUGUAGCAGUGAAAUGCGUAGAGAUCGGGAGGAACAUCAGUUGCGAAGGCGGCAUC
rnacentral:rRNA from 1 species